rfam:Monodelphis domestica chromosome 2, whole genome shotgun sequence.
GGAAAAGUUUUUUUAAAAACUACCAACAGUGAGAAAAAAAUGAUUU